rnacentral:rRNA from 1 species
UACGUAGGGUGCGAGCGUUAUCCGGAUUCACUGGGUUUAAAGGGUGCGUAGGCGGAUUGGUAAGUCCGUGGUGAAAUCCCCGAGCUUAACUUGGGAACUGCCGUGGAUACUAUCAGUCUUGAAUAUCGUGGAGGUAAGCGGAAUAUGUCAUGUAGCGGUGAAAUGCUUAGAUAUGACAUAGAACACCAAUUGCGUAGGCAGCUUACUACUCGAUCAUUGACGCUGAGGCACGAAAGCGUGGGGAGCAAACAGG